rnacentral:lncRNA from 1 species
AAGGAACAUCACAAAUAUUGAAAUAAGGUUCAGCAGAUUUGAUAAUCGGUUUAAUUUAAAUCACAAGAGAAUGAAGUAUUUAUGGUCAAUUUGUUUGAAACGACUAACAUUGAGUAACACAUAUAUUAAAGACAUCCCUAUAUAUGCACUGCAUGUAUUUUCUGUUCGAAGUACAUGUCUUGAGUACCUGAAAAUUUCCUAUAAUACUAUCAUGGACGAAGGAGGUACUUUCAUUACACUAAUUCAGAUCUUUGAAAAUUUGAACGUUUUUAAAUAUAUAAGUAAUUGGCGUCGUACGAGAAGCAAACGCUCGCCACCAUCAAGAUUUUAUACAUUUAAAUUUAUGUUGCCAAAAACUCUUAAAGAGCUGUAUAUAGAAGAUAACAUUGCGACCGAUAUGACUAAUGUUGAAAUUAUAAAUGGUCAUAAUC